rnacentral:lncRNA from 1 species
AAAGGUCACCUGGACUGCCAGUUCCGAACUUUCACUUCACUUUGGGAUUUUCCACAAUUCAGACCGGCACUGAGUCACAAAAACUACCAAGCCUGGGAAGUGAUUGGGCUGCCUGACAAAUGCCUGGCCAGCGGGGAUCAGAGGCAAACGCCACUGCAGUUUGGCCCUGUUGUCAGAGCGAGUCACUGGCUGAGAAGAUGAAUCUGUCCUGGGCCUCAAAGCCAGGGCCGUAGCAGCCUCUCUUCUGGGCACCGAGAAGGCAGUGCUGAGCCCAGGGCUGCACUGGGAGAGACAAGGAGGGGCCCGAGUGUCUCAACCUUGGAAGAAACCUGGACCUCAGACUCAGUGCCCCUCCCAGCUCUGGCUGCAGGCUGUAGACACUUCAUUGUCUCCUGCUGAGCGACUGAGGACUUGGGAGGAAAUCCUGCUUAGAACUUCAAACCUCCAUUCCCAGAGCCGCAACCAGACACUGGAGGGGCAAAGAAGGUGGCAUCAGGAGAUCAUGAGGAGGGUCUCCCCGGGCAUGGAUGGACCUCCUGCCUGGAGGGGCUCAGUCCAGGAUUUCCCAAAAGCCAGCCCCAAGACCUGUGCUAAGCUUCUUACAUCCAAAUACUGGGAAAUAGAAAAUACAGAUCGCAGAUUCUGUAACAUGGGAUCUCUCUCUCCCUUCUCCUCACCUGUGCCUGCGUGCAUGUGUGGCUGUGUGGAUUGGGAGCCACUGAGACCCAGAGAUGGCAAAUGCUCUCAGCGGACAGCAUGUCCCCUGCCAGGGGCUUCAGGCAUGUACCUAUUAACUUUUCUGGAGGGGCGGGACAGCCACGGUCUCAGGUGUUUAAAAUCUCUUAAAGGUUUGACCCAUAGGAAUGUGUCAGCAGAGUGCUAA